CAGCUGUGCUCCUCACGAGACACUCCCCCUUUAGGUAAUCACAACCUUACUGCUUGUUACACAAAUGUUAAUCAGCUUAGUGAAAAUCAGCUUACUGGAGCAGUCACACAAAAGGCUAAAAAACUUUCUUUGGCUGUCCCUGGCCUGCACAGCUGACUUGCACCUAAAGGCUUUGCGACCAGAGGUGGGACUAGGAGCUGUAGCUGCGAGUUGCCACUACAGGGCUGGGCUGGCUGCUUGGAACGGGGAGCCGUGGGCAAAGUGAUUGGCUGUCUGGGGUUAUGUGCCUCCUGCAUGGGCCCCGGCAAGCCAGGGAAGUGAGUGGUAAAGACUCACAAGAGAAUGAUGUGCUUAUAACCUCUCCUCUCAAGAUGAUUUUGCAGUUCUUUGGAAAUCCUUCAAGUUUCUCCUGAGAAAGGGGGAUGUAGUAGUAAGUGUUAACUCAUUUUUUGAGGGCUGACAAGAUAACAUCAACAGGAAGUUGCCACCAUCUUUGUGCAUG